rnacentral:misc_RNA from 1 species
AUUAAGUUUUGGUAUAGCUAGGUGCGAUGUGAAGUUGCGGCAAAUUACAAUAGUAGGUGUUGGGGGGGAAUUAAAGAAAGUUUUAACAAAGGUCAGAAGAGUUAUGCUAUGACUGACUUUGCAUAAUUAAAUGAUGCGAAGUAGCACAACACGGCUUUGCAGUCCCAUUAUUGCUCUAAUGGGUUGGUAUCCUUAAUUUCAUUAACUUCAAACAACUGUCUUAGCCUCUUCAUGACAAG